rnacentral:rRNA from 1 species
AGCACCACAACGGGUGGAGCCUGCGGUUUAAUUGGACUCAACGCCGGGCAGCUCACCGGAUAAGACAGCUGGAUGAUAGCCGGGCUGAAGACUCUGCUUGACUAGCUGAGAGGAGGUGCAUGGCCGUCGUCAGUUCGUACUGUGAAGCAUCCUGUUAAGUCAGGCAACGAGCGAGACCCACGCCAACAGUUGCCAGCAUGUCCUCCGGGAUGAUGGGGACACUGUUGGGACCGCCUCUGCUAAAGAGGAGGAAGGAAUGGGCAACGGUAGGUCAGCAUGCCCCGAAUUAUCCGGGCUACACGCGGGCUACAAUGGUCAGGACAAUGGGUAUCGACACCGAGAGGUGGAGGCAAUCUCCUAAACCUGUCCUUAGUUCGGAUUGUGGGCUGCAACUCGCCCACAUGAAGCUGGAAUCCGUAGUAACCGCGUUUCAAAAUAGCGCGGUGAAUAUGUCCCUGCUCCUU